CCGGCCGGCGACCGGCGCACGGGUGAGUAACACGUAUGCAACCUGGCCGUGACAGAUGGAUAACCGGGAGAAAUCCCGCCUAAUACAACAUAAUGCCGGGAGGGGACAUCCCCUGCCGGCCAAAGGGGGCGACCCCGGUCACGGAUGGGCAUGCGGCGCAUUAGGUAGUUGGUGGGGCAACGGCCCACCAAGCCGACGAUGCGUAGGGGUUCUGAGAGGAAGGUCCCCCACAUUGGAACUGAGACACGGUCCAAACUCCUACGGGAGGCAGCAG
rnacentral:rRNA from 1 species